rnacentral:rRNA from 1 species
AUUGAACGCUGGCGGAAUGCUUUACACAUGCAAGUCGAACGGUAGAGGGGGCAACCCCUCGAGAGUGGCGAACGGGUGAGUAAUAUAUCGGAACGUGCCCAGUCGUGGGGGAUAACGUAGCGAAAGUUACGCUAAUACCGCAUACGAUCUAAGGAUGAAAGCGGGGGAUCGCAAGACCUCGCGCGAUUGGAGCGGCUGAUAUCAGAUUAGGUAGUUGGUGGGGUAAAGGCUCACCAAGCCAACGAUCUGUAGCUGGUCUGAGAGGACGACCAGCCACACUGGAACUGAGACACGGUCCAGACUCCUACGGGAGACAGCAGUGGGGAAUUUUGGACAAUGGACGCAAGUCUGAUCCAGCCAUUCCGCGUGCAGGAUGAAGGCCCUCGGGUUGUAAACUGCUUUUGUACGGAACGAAAAGGUCUCUCUUAAUACGGGGGACUCAUGACGGUACCGUAAGAAUAAGCACCGGCUAACUACGUGCCAGCCGCCGCGGUAA